GGAUGUGAGGUCCUUCUGGCUGCCACAUCUGUCAUCCCAUGGAUCACCAGGGUUCAGCUGAUCUGGCAGGCUGGGCAGGUGUCCGCUUUUUCUCUCACCACUCCAAGUGCGUCCUUCCCAAUACUACUGUUGUCAAAGAGGAUGACCAUCCCUGAGAGAGGAGGACUGGAGGGGGUCUGUGCUCCCCUGCUAGAGCCUCCAAACAAGCUCCCAAGAAAGCUAGAGCUAGGAUAAGAUCACUAUUAAGUCAGGUUCUCUUCUUACAGCAACUUAAUCCUAUACAAUGUUGUCUUUA
ensembl:misc_RNA 7SK 7SK RNA